UCCGUAGGUGAACCUGCGGAGGGAUCAUUACAGAGUUGCAAAACUCCCUAAACCAUUGUGAACGUUACCUAAACCGUUGCUUCGGCGGGCGGCCCGGGUCCUUCCCGGCGCCCCUCGGCCCUCGCGGGCGCCCGCCGGAGGUAAACCAAACUAUUGCAUUGUACGGCCUCUCUGAGUCUUCUGUACUGAAUAAGUCAAAACUUUCAACAACGGAUCUCUUGGUUCUGGCAUCGAUGAAGAACGCAGCGAAAUGCGAUAAGUAAUGUGAAUUGCAGAAUUCAGUGAAUCAUCGAAUCUUUGAACGCACAUUGCGCCCGCCAGUAUUCUGGCGGGCAUGCCUGUUCGAGCGUCAUUUCAACCAUCAAGCCCCGGGCUUGUGUUGGGGACCUGCGGCUGCCGCAGGCCCUGAAAUGCAGUGGCGGGCUCGCUGUCACUCCGAGCGUAGUAGUUACAUCUCGCUCUGGGCGUGCUGCGGGUUCCGGCCGUUAAAAGCCUUAUUUACCCAAGGUUGACCUCGGAUCAGGUAGGAAGACCCGCUGAACUUAAGCAUAUCAAUAAGCGGAGGA
rnacentral:rRNA from 1 species